AGACACAGAGAAUCCACAUCACUGGGGAGAAGUGUGACCUCGAAGCCAUCAACUGGUCCCCAGCCUCAUAAUAGUCACUGGCACUUACUGAGCAGAGACAAAAUGUUCUCUAAACGUCACCCUCCAGAAAACCCCUAGAGAGUGUAACAGCUGGGGAAACUGAGCCUCAGAGAGAUUAAGUAUUGUGCCUAAGAUCACAGGGCAGCCCAUAGUAGAACCAGGAUCAGGUCAUCUGACCCAGAGAACCUGGUUUGUAACCAUUCGGCCAUAGUGUCACAGGUGUGCCUUGGAUCAGCAUGCUGUGACAUCUCGGUUUGGUCCACUCUUUGCCUGGAUCACCACUGAGCCGCCUUCUCCAGCUCUCUUCUUGUAUGUCCUUGCCUUCCCUUCCUUCAGCCGCAGCCGCUGCCCUAAAAGUGUCCCUCCUGGCCUGAAGCCACCAAGUACGCCUCCCUAGUGAGCAUACGCUGCCAUGAGCAUGAGGAAGCGGCCCCGGCUGCACUUCACUCACAGCACCCACCGCGGGGGCUCCUUGUUUUCCGUCCUCUCUCUCUCUGCCUUCCCAAGCUUUUGGCUUGCAUAUCCAGCUUUUCUGCAUGCCUGCUCGAUGACCUGCAGUCAGUGGGAAUCUGCGCUAGUCAUUCAAAGGAGGUCUCAUAAGUUCCAUCCUCCUCCCCCAAGACCCUUGCUAAGAGAUCUGUCCCCAUGACAGGCUCACUGUAGCAUUCUCAGGGCCUCUUGGUCGAGGGGCCCCUGCAGCUCUCAGCAGAGCUGUCAUCUCCAAGGACAUCUGAGCCUGAGUAGCAGCUCAGUAGUCAGCUUAAGCAGGUUCUCCCUCCCACCCCUUUUGUUAAAGUGAAAUAUUGUUGAUGUACAGUGUCGUGAUAGUUUCAGGAAUACAGCAAAGUGAUUCAGUUACACAUGCAUAUAUAUAUGAAUAUUUUAAACAUCUUUUCCCUUAUAGGUUAUUGUAAAAUAUUGAGUUCCCUGUGCUAUACAGUAGGUCCUUGUUGGCUAUCUGUCUUACAUACAGUAGUGUGUAUAUGUUAAUCCCAAAUGCCCAGUUUAUCCCUCCCCCUUUCUCCUUUGGUAAAAUCAUAAAUUCUCUAUGUCUCUGGGUCUGUUUCUAUUUUGUGUGUGAGUUCAUUUGCAUAUUUUUUUAUGAUUCCACAUAUAAGUAAGAUCACGUGAUAUUUGUCUUUGUCUGGCUUACUUAACUUGGUAUGAUAAUUUCCAGGUCUGUCCAUGUUUUGUUGUUUGUUUUGGGUUUUUUUUUGUUUUGUUUUUUGCUUUUUAGGGCCAUGCCCACGGCAUAUGGAAGCUCCCUGACUAGGAGUCAAAUCGGAGCUACAGCUGCCUGCCUGCACCACAGCCACAUCCACGUGGGAUCCAAGCCUCUGAGACCUACAGCACAGCUCACAACAACGCCAGAUCCUUAACCCACUGAUCGAAGCCAAGGAUCAAAACCAAAUCCUCAUGGCCACUAGUCAGAUUUGUUUCCGCUGCGCCACAGCGGGAACUCCCCGGGUCCAUCCGUGCUGCAAGUGGCGUUAUUUCAUUCUCUUUUAUGGCUGAGUAAUAUUCCGCUGUAUAUAUGUACCACAUCUUCUUCAUGCAGUCAUCUGAGAAUGAACAUGUAUGUAGCUUUAAAGUUUUCUCUAGAAAUAUACCAGGGAUGGGACUGCAAGAUCACAUGGUAACUCUAUGUUCAGUUUUUUAAAAAUCCUCCGGAUUCUUCUCCGAAGUGUCUGUACCAAUUGACAUCCCACCAACAGUGCAGGAGGGUUCCUUUGUCUCCACACCCUCUCCAGCAUUUACGUCUUGCCAGCAAAGCAUCCUUGGUGUCCUCACAGGUCAGGGAUCUCAAAGCCCUCGGCGAGGCUGCCUUCCCCCCAGAAAGCGGCUCCUCAGACAGUCCCCUGCGAUCUCUUUUGCCUGCUGGAUGGCCUUCGGGAAGCCACAACUCUGGGGACUCUGGCUUUCCCCAGGUGGGCUGGUGCCUGAGCCAGCUUGCGUGCCUCGCUGCACGGGUGUUCCUGGAGUGGACCUUCCAGGGUCUGGACAGAGGUUUGGCACUGCUCCCCAAAUCAAAGGUGGCACCAGCAUCCUUACAAGAGCCUCUCUUUCUCUCUCUUUCUCUGUUUUUUAAAAUUGGGGGACAAGAAGGGGGCAGGGUGUGGCUCAGAUCCUCCAGGUACCGCAGGCAGCCCUGUCCCCCACCCAAGGCAUGCAGGCUCACGACUGGGUUUAUUUCUCAGGACAGAGAAAAGGUGAGGCAGCCACUGCGAUGGGGGAAGUGGCUUUAUCAGAUUAAUUCCUGCCUGGUAAAAAUGCUCAGCCGCCCAGCCUCUGUGAGCAAGGUGACCCAGCCUCCUGUGUACCCAGUGGUUUCCAGGCUGGUGGGUGGUUGUUUUUCCACCAAAACCCUUGGCUAGCUCGGCAUCUCACCCGAGGGCUGUGGUUUGGGGAGUGUUUUGACUUGAAACAUGCAGGCCCCUGGUGGUAUUUGGAGUUGUGAGCUCCUUCUGUGCUAAAAGGAAAAUGAAUGGUCUAUUUAGAAACUGCUAACAAUUCUCAGUAUAAAGAGCAGACAACACUUCUGCUGCUAACAUGCUGGCUUCCUGAGGCUAGUCCCCUGGGGGCUGGCUGUGUGGCAAUCCCGGCCCCUGCUCUGGCUAGUCCAUCUGACGACCCCCUACUAGUAGCGGCAAUGCUUCUAGAAAGAUAUGCCUCUGCCCUGGCUUUUUCUGGGCCUCCCCUCAACCCCUUCCCAGAACACGCUCUUCCAGGGGCCUGUGGGGACUCUGGGCUGUGAGUGAGACCCCCUUUUCCUAAACCAGAUGGACUUUGCUCUGAACAAGGGAGGGAAGGGUGGCUGUUUGGAAACGCCUGAAACAGCUUCUCUUGUGACGUUUUUACCUGAGUUCCCCUUGUGGCUCAGCAGGUUGAGAACCCAAGAUAGUGUCUGUGAGGAUGCAGGUUCAAUCCCUGGCCUCACUCACUGGGUUAAGGAUCUGGCAUUGCAGCUCCAAUUUGACCCCUAGCCCAGGAACUGCCAUAUAUCCCAAGUGUGGUCAUUAAAAAAAAACAAAGAAAAAAAAUAAAGAAAAAAGAAACAAAAAAGACCAGUUUACUAAAAUACCAAAGCUCGUUUCAAAGAUUAACCAAAUUAGGAAUGGUGUUCAUUUCAUCUGUCACAAGGAAUUCCUCUAGAGAUACAAGCCAUCCCAGUCAAAAUCCUGAUAGGCUUUUGUGUAGAAAUUUACAAACCAAUUCUAAAGUUUAUAUAGACAUGCAAAGGAUCCAGAACAGCAAAAACAAUUUUGAAAAAGAAGAACGAAGGUGGAAAACGAACACUACCUGAUUUAAAGACUUACUCAAAAGUAAAGACAAUAUAGAUUCAGACACACGUAGAUGGGCCUAUAAGGGCAGGCAGGUUAAUGCAACAGAAUAAGAGUCCAGAUACAGGCAGGUGUCAAGAUAAUUUAAUGGGGUAAGUGUUGCCUUUUUAAUACAUGAUGUUGAUAUAUGAUUGGACAUUCAUAUCCAUAAAAUGAACUUGACCCUUACUUCAAUCCACACAUGAAAAUUGACUUGCAAUGGGCCAUAGCAGUAAAUGCAAGAAUUAAAAUUAUAAAGCUUCUUGGAAGAACAAAUAGAAGACAAAAGCUAUGUGACCUUGGAUUGAAUAAAGAUUUUUAGCUGGAAGACAAAAAUCUUUCAUCAUAGAAGUAAAAAUCGAUAAAUUAGAUUUCAUCAAAAUUUAAAACACCUGCUCUUCAAAAGACAGAGUUAAGAAAAAUCAGGGAGUUCUCUUAGUGCCUCAGCAGUUAAUGAACCCUACUAGGAACCAUGAGGAUGCAGGUUCGAUCCCUGGCCUCAAUCAUUGGGUUAAGGAUCCAGUGUUGCCUUAGCUGUGGUGUAGGUCGCAGAUGCAGCUCAGAUCCGGAGUUGCUGUGGCUGUGGUGUGGGCCCAAAGCUGUAGCUCUGAAUCGACCCUCCUAGCCUGGGAACCUCCAUAUGCCACAGAUGUGGCCUUAAGAAAAAGGCACAGACUGUGAUAAAAUAUGUGUAAAACAUAUAUCUAAUACAGAUGUAUAUACUUUAUUUAUAUAUUUGAUAAGUAUAUUCAACAUCAUUAAGUGUGGAACAACUGGGACUUUCAUACUUAGCCAAUGGGGGUGUGAAAAUGGUACCCGGUUUGCAGUUUUUGAAAAAGCUAAGCAUCCCCUUAUCAUGGCAACCAACAAUCCCAUUCUAAGGUGUUUAUCUAAAAGAAAGGAAAGGGUGUGUCCACAAAAAGCCGUGUAGUCUGUUCGCAGAAGCUCUCUUCAUAAUCACUGAAAAGUAGAAAUAGUCAAAUGCCCAUCGGUUGGCAAAUGGUUUGAUAUAUUGUGGUGUAUGUGGUACAAUUUGGUGAUAAAAAGGGGGUUCCCAUUGUGUCUCAGCAGGUUAUGAACCCAACUAGUAUCCAUGAGGAUGCGGGUUUGAAGCCUCACUCAGUGGGUUAAGGAUCUGGCGUUGCCGUGAGCUGUGGUGUAGGUCGCAAACGUGGCUUGGAUCUGGCAUUGCUGUGGCUGUGGUGUAGACCGGCAGUUGUAGCUCGGAUUCAACCCCUAGCCCACAAGCUUCCAUAUGCCACAGCUGCGGCC
rnacentral:lncRNA from 1 species